UACGAAGGGGGCUAGCGUUGUUCGGAAUUACUGGGCGUAAAGCGCACGUAGGCGGGUGGUUAAGUUAGGGGUGAAAUCCCGGAGCUCAACUCCGGAACUGCCUUUGAUACUGGCCAUCUAGAGAUCGGAAGAGGUGAGUGGAAUUCCCAGUGUAGAGGUGAAAUUCGUAGAUAUUGGGAAGAACACCGGCGGCGAAGGCGGCUCACUGGUCCGAUACUGACGCUGAGGUGCGAAAGCGUGGGGAGCAAACAGGAUUAGAUACCCUAGUAGU
rnacentral:rRNA from 1 species